UACGAAGGGGGCUAGCGUUGCUCGGAAUCACUGGGCGUAAAGCGCACGUAGGCGGGUCUUUAAGUCAGGGGUGAAAUCCUGGAGCUCAACUCCCGAACUGCCUUUGAUACUGAGGAUCUCGAGUCCGGGAGAGGUGAGUGGAACUCCGAGUGUAGAGGUGAAAUUCGUAGAUAUUCGGAAGAACACCAGUGGCGAAGGCGGCUCACUGGCCCGGUACUGACGCUGAGGUGCGAAAGCGUGGGGAGCAAACAGG
rnacentral:rRNA from 1 species